UAACAUCCGGAAACGGGUGCUAAUACCGCAUUAGUUUUCUUGGUCGCAUGAUACGGGAAAGGAAAGACGGCCUUUGUGCUGUCGCUUAUGGAUGGACCCGCGGCGUAUUAGUUAGUUGGUGAGGUAACGGCUCAACCAAGACGAUGAUACGUAGCCGACCUGAGAGGGUGAUCGGCCACAUUGGGACUGAGACACGGCCCAAACUCCUACGGGAGGCAGCAGUAGGGAAUCUUCCGCAAUGGACGAAAGUCUGACGGAGCAACGCCGCGUGAGUGAAGAAGGGUUUUUUCCGGAUCGUAAAACUCUGUUGUCAGAGAAGAACAAGUUGGAGAGUAACUGCUCCAGCCUUGACGGUAUCUGACCAGAAAGCCACGGCUAACUACGUGCCAGCAGCUGC
rnacentral:rRNA from 1 species